CGGAAAGUGAGCUAAAUACAUCAACAAGAACGGGGUAAACAAAAUAGAAAAAAAGACCGGCAAAAACAGGGAAUCGAUCUGGAUAGCUUGUGUAGCAAAGGGCAGUUUUCAAAUUGUUAAUUUUCUAAAGUGUUUACCGAUUAAAAGGCAGGAAGUGAUUUACUAUUCAUCCAUAUUAUACAGUCUACAAGACAAAUCGUCACUUCAAGUGAAUCUAACCUGCAAAGGCAUAAUUCCGAGUCUCGGAUCGUUAAAAUCAACAAUCGUUAUUUACAAUAUUGUACCGUUUCGAGACUAAAUAAGCGAAAUAGUCAUUCGUUUCCUG